rnacentral:rRNA from 1 species
GGGCCCGCGGUAUCUUAACCGUGCAAAGGUAGCAUAAUCAAUUGUCCUUUAAAUUAGGACUAGUAUGAACGGCAUCACGAGGGUUUAACUGUCUCCCCCUUUUAAUCAAUGAAACUAAUUUUCCCGUGAAGAAGCGGGAAUGUAAUUAUAAGACGAGAAGACCCCAUGGAGCUUUAAACUUAACAUCACUUAUUAAAUAAUAAAACACACCACAUAAUAAGAGUGCUUUAUAGUUUUUGGUUGGGGCGACCCUGGAGAAUAACAAAUCCUCCAGAUUGAAUGAAUAACUAACCUUAUACAAGAACCACAAUUCAAACAAACAAAAAUUUGACAAUACUGACCCAGAAUAAACUGACCAGUGAACCAAGUUACCCUGGGGAUAACAGCGCAAUCCAUUUUAAGAGCCCUUAUCGACAAAUGGGUUUACGACCUCGAUGUUGGAUCAGGGUAUCCAAGCAGCGCAGCCGUUGCUAGUGGUUCGUUUGUUCAACGAUUAAAACCCUACGUGAUCU